rnacentral:rRNA from 1 species
GAUGAACGCUGGCGGCGUGCCUAAUACAUGCAAGUCGAGCGAACAGAUGAGGAGCUUGCUCCUCUGACGUUAGCGGCGGACGGGUGAGUAACACGUGUAUAACCUACCUAUAAGACUGGGAUAACUUCGGGAAACCGGAUCUAAUACCGGAUAAUAUAUUGAACCGCAUGGUUCAAUAGUGAAAGACGGUUUUGCUGUCACUUAUAGAUGGAUCCGCGCCGCAUUAGCUAGUUGGUAAGGUAACGGCUUACCAAGGCAACGAUGCGUAGCCGACCUGAGAGGGUGAUCGGCCACACUGGAACUGAGACACGGUCCAGACUCCUACGGGGGGCAGCAGUAGGGAAUCUUACGCAAUGGGCGAAAGCCUGACGGAGCAACGCCGCGUGAGUGAUGAAGGUCUUCGGAUCGUAAAACUCUGUUAUUAGGGAAGAACAAAUGUGUAAGUAACUAUGCACGUCUUGACGGUACCUAAUCAGAAAGCCACGGCUAACUACGUG